UUUUAGCCCUGAUGGAAGUGGCAUCCUUUUUGUUUUGCAUUAAAAAACAAAAAGAUAUAACGGACAGCAGGUUUCUGC
rnacentral:sRNA from 1 species